CCUUCACCAGGCCAAGGAGCCGGCAUCAGACACAACCCCUGUCCACAACGCCUAGUCUCACCACACCCCCAAGGGUCAUCAGCAGUGACAAAUUUUGAGCAUAAGCGAUAGCUUGACUCAGUUAGAGAAAAGAGAGCCGGCCAACCCGGUGCCAGCCGCCGCGGCUACCCCGUGGGGCUCAAGUUGAAGGUCAUCGGCGUUAAGCGUGAUUAAAGUUCUCUUAGAUUAGGGCCAAAUUAAUACUUAGUUGUUUAAAGCUUGUCAUUAAGAGGAACACAAACGAAAGUUGCCCUAACCCACACACUUGAAUACACGACAGCUGGGGAACAAACUGGGAUCAGAUACCCCACUAUGCCCAGCCGUAAACAAUUAAUCCACAACCAUAAGCGCCAGGGAAUUACGAGCCAAGCUUAAAACCCAAAGGAUUUGACGGUGUCCCACCCCCCUAGAGGAGCCUGUUCUAUAAUCGAUGAUCCCCGCUACACCCGACCAUUUCUUGCUUAUCAGUCUGUAUACCUCCGUCGAAAGCCUACCAUGUGAACGCCCCCACAGUAGGUUCAAUGAUCCCCGUCAAUACGUCAGGUCAAGGUGCAGCUUAAGAAAUGGAAAGCGAUGGGCUACAAUUUCUAACCUAGAACAAACGAAAGGCUAUGUGAAAUCAUAGUCACGAAGGCGGAUUUAGUAGUAAAAAGAAAAUAGAGUGUUCUUUUUAACCUGGCUCUGGGACGCGUA
rnacentral:rRNA from 1 species